UGCAAAGUCUCGGGUGGCAGUGUGCUGGU
rnacentral:sRNA from 1 species